rnacentral:rRNA from 1 species
AUGAACGCUGGUGGCGUGCCUCAUACAUGCAAGUCGAGCGAACGGACGAGAAGCUUGCUUCUCUGAUGUUAGCGGCGGACGGGUGAGUAACACGUGGAUAACCUACCUAUAAGACUGGGAUAACUUCGGGAAACCGGAGCUAAUACCGGAUAAUAUUUUGAACCGCAUGGUUCAAAAGUGAAAGACGGUCUUGCUGUCACUUAUAGAUGGAUCCGCGCUGCAUUAGCUAGUUGGUAAGGUAACGGCUUACCAAGGCAACGAUGCAUAGCCGACCUGAGAGGGUGAUCGGCCACACUGGAACUGAGACACGGUCCAGACUCCUACGGGAGGCAGCAGUAGGGAAUCUUCCGCAAUGGGCGAAAGCCUGACGGAGCAACGCCGCGUGAGUGAUGAAGGUCUUCGGAUCGUAAAACUCUGUUAUUAGGGAAGAACAUAUGUGUAAGUAACUGUGCACAUCUUGACGGUACCUAAUCAGAAAGCCACGGCUAACUACGUG